GCUGUUGAAUAUUAAUCCUCUCAAAAAAAUGUUUGAAGAAAUUUUCUUUUUAUUUAUGAAAUCUGAAAUGAGAAAAAUGUAACCCCCCCCCCCCCCACCCCCCAUUUUUUUUUCACAUCCCCCUUUCCCUUUUUCCAAAACUGAUCUCAAUUCAAAUUUCUAAUGGAGUUUGCAACAAUAACUACUCAUUUAAAUACAUCAUAAAAUAUUAAAAUGUAACAAAAGGUGCUUGUUAUCACUGAAUGGUAAAGAUUGUUUUAAU
rnacentral:lncRNA from 1 species